UGGGAUCAACAAGCCGCCUACUCCCAGGGGAGCUUGAACGGUAUCUUGAUGCGUGAGUCAUGCUGGUUGAUGUUGAUCAAAUUCAAGGUUGGUUCCAAGGUUGUUUUGUAGACGACCACUGGAUGGGAUGGAGAACCCCACCAACGACCGGUUUGGGCCCAGAUAAAGGUUUCCGCCGUAGAAUAGACAAAGAAGUGUAAUCGCUCAAUCUGACACCAGAUAAAAUGUAUGUCAACAAAAGGCAGGAUAAGGGAAUUGAUCAAAAAGGACGGAUGAACGAGUGUUAUAGAAAGGAGGAGGACAAAAAAAGAGGAAGCCGCAAGGUGUAGAGGGGGGGCGUUCGGGAAGGUGCGACCGGCAGGCUUACUGGCAGCAACUUGGGCAAGCGCGAUGUGGACAAGAAAGCACGGGACGACGUCCCAAACUGAUUGCUUGCUUCUUCCUUCCUUUCGUUUGUUGCGUCGUUUUCUUUCUCUUUUUCAGUCCCCUACAGGAGUCUUCGAUCAAACAACAACAAUUGGGCAGACGUUGAAAUCGAAACUAUCGAAUCCUUCUGAGCACCUCUGUUAAUUCAACGACGAACAGAGAAGGCAAAAAUCCUCCUGAGAGUCUGAGACUGACGACUGCGAUGGGGCAGAUAUGACGCACCUGGCACGGUCGACCCUCUAUUUUUGCCGGGGCAGUGGCCGAUCAAAUUCAAAGCCCGAGGCAGGAAAAAUCCACAGAGCCUCACGACUUCAGCUUGGGUGGAGCCCAAUUGACACCAGUGGCGCCCGGCCACGGUGGGUUUUAUUUCUUCCGACAAUUUACACUCUACUCUGUAGUUAGAGUGAGACCUAACAGGGAACGUACGUUAUUACGACAAACCGUGAGACGAUUCAGCGAUUGACUCUUCUCGAGUCCCUGGUUGGGCAUCAGCUUUGUUGAUCAAACGUGGCCAGUUCCGGUGCAAUGGCUAGGGGCUUUGUUUCGACAUAAUUCAAUGAUUAUGAAUGGAUCGACUCUCGAUUAGGUUACUGUCGGGCGAGGGUAGGGUAAGGUAGCCUUGUAAAUGCUCUUAGCGUAUACACAAUUGCCGGUUUCAACAACGGCCAUCCCUGUCAAUGAGGUCUGUGGUUGAAAGAGUGUGCAUAUGCCACUGCCAGCCUUGGAAUAUUGCCUUCGGGCUCAGUACCGGUAGACAUGACGACACGGCCCACUCUAUCUUGAGCAAACAAGCUCCGCGAUACGUACUUCGCUGUACAUAGUUGAUUUGGAAGUGAAGCGUGUGUUUGCGUCCGGAAAGCAACGGCUCGGUGAUAUGCCAGCUGGUCCGACCAGUCUAUAUCGAGAUUCGUGAAUCAUAGUGCAACAUAUGGGAGCAAGAUCAGUCAAGUGACUCCUUUGGAUAGUAUAUUCAAACUCAUUCCUCGGCGCUGAUUGGGUGAUAUCAUGUGCCUUAUUACGGGUCAAUUCCAUGGAUUGAUAUGGACCAAGCACGGCGACUUCCGACGGCCUAGUGGGUCGAACCAGCUAAUCAACGAUGUUUUACCGAUCAAUCUUCAAUUGGUAUGUACCUCCGUGUACAUCGCCUUCUCGCCAAUCCCACGUUUUCAAGUCAACGACACUCAAGUCACGAUGUUGUCCCGAUCCGGAAUUCUAAAAUCCGAUAUUCGGCACCUAAUUGAUAGUGAGACUGGUGUGGAUUGUGAUAGAGGACAUGUUGACAAACAACACAAUUAUCCACCGCAUACUCCAUCCAUCUAUCCGCGGAGCUUAUAUACAUUCAUUUUGGCUCAUUCCUAAGAUGGUGCCCAACAGCCUCAUCUCACGAUUCCACGCCUUAAUUCUGGCACCCGUCCCCAGCACAAGGGCUUGAAGCUACAUAUCUAAGGCAUGAAUGGAUCAUUUGGGCAGCGCCCUGGUCUUUACCUGGGCGUGUUGGUAUGUUGUUCUAUGAAAGGGUCGUGUAGUGUAAUGUGGUUUGGACAUUAACCUGGGCCUGACUUACUUUCAAAAAUCAAAUUCGUAACAUCCGGGUUCACAUAGGUAUCACCCAGGGCUAGCGUCCCAAUUAUUUGGAACCUGUAAGGGCACAUUGAGAUAUUACACACCCAAGUAUCGUCUGGUUCGACGAGCAAGGGGUCCGGUUGGUCGACUAUAAGGCGACUAGCGUGACUUUAAUGUGACGAAAUGCAGAAGCCGCGCAGCCUGCAGCAGGCGACCCUGUUUCCAAACAUUCGGAUCGGACUAAAGCUAACAUGCAUGCGUAGGUGCGACUCUAUCCUACCAGACCAGCCCUAUCCCCAUCAUCAACAAAUCAGACAAUCUUCUAUUAAGAUAGCAAUGCGGCUCUAAAAUGAUCUACAGGAAGCGCCGCAUUCCUUGAGGCCACGAAGUCCGACUCAAGCCGGUGCUUAAAAUUGAGGGCCUUCUUGAGAUAUCUGGUUGGUCGUCAUUAGACAGCUGGAAUGUUCCGAAUUGUCACCAUAGAGCUCAGAGAGUGAUAUCAUCACUUUGUUUCCAUCAAUUUAUACCCUCUACCCCCCAGGCAGCCAUCCAUGAGUGAGCUGCGCCCACCUGUUGGAAUUCCUAAAGGAGACCCGACUCCUUGCCCACCAAUGGACCAAAGUAGUAAUCAAGACGCUAUCCAUGACUGAAUUACUACCCCACUGACACGAAGAGUAUGUGAUAAUCGCUAAUGUCCGGGGCAUAGCCACCAGCCCCGAUUGUAUGGGUUACAUUAAUACAGCAAGAACCAUGGAAAGUGACGAUAUUCCUGGAUUUAGGGAAAGGAAUGAUUGACUUUCGGUCUGUCCAUAUCUGGUUCUGAUAACUGACUAGGCGUCCCACUGGAACCAUACUCUUCUAACCUCACCGUUAAGCUAACACCGGAUAGGAAUUAUGACUAUAGAUUCCUAUUUAUCGCAACCGGGCUUUCUACCUCGUAUGAGCCCUUUCGGGUCAUUGCCCUCUAUGGAUCCCUCAGGCAACACUCAGACCGGAAUGCAUCCUCCCUGUGGACUGAGGACCUUCUCAGCUGUUCCCGUAGUUCUAGGUAGGGCUAGGGUUCCUGAUAUUGAUACACCCUUAUGGCAGUGCUGUCGUGAACACCGACUACACCCUGAGGUUUAAAAGAAGACCUUUUUUCACCUCUGGGAUAUUGAUUCAGAGAGUUCAUCACAGGCACCAACAAACAGUACAAUCUAAGAACUCAUCUUUCACACCCCCAGUUAUCUGAUCGAACUCCAGCAAGAAAUCUUUGGUCAUACAUUGACAGGACUUGGAGAGGCCUGAAGAUACUUAGCUAUCUUUAAUUUAUCUUGUUCAUCUGUCAAAAAGAAUACACCAUCCGAGCACAUACCCUGCUCAGAAACAUACAGCAAUACUAUACCUACAUCCUGAUAUUAUUUUGUUCUAGUUCAGGCAAAAUGUGCCACAAAUUGGAUCAAGUCGUUCUCGAGACUUCGGAAUACGUGCCGACAGAAUAUUGGAAGUGUUGUGAAUGCUCAGAGAUGUGGAUUGAUGGAUACUAUGUCGAAUGUUUCAUUUGUCAUCAUAAGAGGUGCUCUCUGUGUGGGACACUGUCUCGGUGAACUUUGGCGAUCCGUCGCCUGUCUGUUCCCAAGGCCUGGUAGAGAGGCUUGUCGCCUAUUCAUCAUCAUCCUCCUCCUGCUGUCUCUGCUGAAGCUUAUCAGCUGCAUCUCCUCUCAGCAUGUCUGACAUCUUCAAUUUACUUGGCUGAGACCUACUCGAUCAACCUCGAUGAAACACGACACCCACAUCCACAGCAUUACUCGCUUUUGACCAUUAUUCGACAGUAUUAGACAUCCCAGUUGUCACUUCAACAUCGCGCAUUCUAGUUUUGUAUCUUUGCUUCUCCAUCUUGUCCUCUCGAUUAAUUGAUGUAUUUCUGUUCGAAUUUUACUUGGCCUCCUAGUUUUCGUUUCCCUAAUGGUAUUUAUUCCUUUCACUCUUGACUCUUCCUCGUCCAAUAUGCCCCUUGGAUAAUAAUAGAUUUCUCUUCAAAAAAUUUUUGACAUCCUGGUUGUUGUUACCCUAAUGGUAUUGCUGCUUUGGUUUGGCUCUUCGUCUUUUCGCCCUGCCUCUGGUUUCAUAUGAUUUCUCUUCGGAUUUUACUUGGUUGAUUUCAUGUUUGCUUCUCAUUCGUCUUGCUUUAUCGCCCUCAGUCCUUCAUUGCAAUCCAGGUUUUACAUUACUUAGUUUAGUUAGCUUGAAUUACCUAGAUAGACCAUCAAAAUCAAAUUUAUUAGUACAAACCACCCCUUCACCUUCUCUUAUCUCUCAACAAAAUAAUCAUAC
rnacentral:lncRNA from 1 species